UGUGUGUGCUUUGAGACAGGCCCGAGCAGCUGCUUGACCUGACCUCACUCCAGAUGAAAUAGGAAGCAGCUGGAAGGAAACACCCGGCGCCCUGGUCAAAGGGACGGGUGACCCAGCCUGUCCCAAGAAGAGCAGAAACAGUCCAGCCCUUGAACUGCACACACCUUCCCUCUCCUCCCGUAGAAGCUGACGCCGACUUC